CUGCCUUGAAUCCCUGCACUUGGAGAAAAGUAAGCCAGAAACAAAGCAGAUAAAUAAUAAUAGAGGAACUUGUUUCCUCUGUUGUUCGACCUCUUGCAGUAAAAUUUGACCGUGGCCAUAUCCAGGGACCAAAUUCCAAACAUUUCUGGACCCAAUUGCUUUGGCCCCACAAAGAACAAAAUCUAUAGGUGAAGAGAAGGUGGCUUUAUGUGUUUGGUUUUAUUUUUCUGAUGAAAGUUAGUUGCACUGGGAAUCACUAAUACAUCGUUCCUUGCAUAAAAAGAAGCCAAACGGGGCAGUGGAUUGAAUAAGUACUUCUCUUUGGUUUGACUGGAUCAAGCCCUUAACUUUCUCAUUUCCUGAAACCAACAGAAGUGUGUUUGCGUCUAUGUUACAGGGCAGGAAGAACAGUUGAGGAAGAACUACUGAAAUGCAGGGGUAAACUGGAAUAGUAACAAGGGUUUCUUCAAAGGAAGGAGCAUCUCAAUCAACCAGUCCUGUUUUGAUGGAUUUAAAAGCUGGUGGCAAGCUAGAGGAAAAUGGAUGAAUCUGAUAUUGUACACAAAGAUUAGAUGUGCUGAUAAGGGUCUACAGUUAUGUGUUCAACAGCUGUGCUUCUUGCCUUGAAUUGAAGGAGACUACAGGAAUGGUGGAGGAGGAGGAAUGGAUUCAGGAUACCUGGGCAGAACUAUGUUGAAAUGCUGCUUCAUGUUGGCUGUGUGAAUCCUAUAUCAAGUAAACAAGACUUAGGGUCAAGCAACACAAUAUACUUAAUGCUAUCCAGAAGCCAUGCUCCUGAUCCCUAG
rnacentral:lncRNA from 1 species